rnacentral:tRNA from 1 species
GAGGGUAGAGCUCAGUGUAGAGCAUGAGCUUAGCAUGCUUGAGGUCCUGGGUGCAAUCCCCAGUACAUUCA